rnacentral:rRNA from 1 species
UACGUAGGGGGCUAGCGUUGCUCGGAAUCACUGGGCGUAAAGGGUGCGUAGGCGGCGCGGUAAGUCGGGUGUGAAAUCUCGGAGCUUAACUCCGAAACUGCAUUCGAUACUGCCGUGCUUGAGGACUGGAGAGGAGACUGGAAUUUACGGUGUAGCGGUGAAAUGCGUAGAUAUCGUAAGGAAGACCAGUGGCGAAGGCGGGUCUCUGGACAGUUCCUGACGCUGAGGCACGAAGGCCAGGGGAGCAAACGGG